rnacentral:rRNA from 1 species
UGGGGAAUAUUGGACAAUGGGCGCAAGCCUGAUCCAGCAAUGCCGCGUGAGUGAUGAAGGCCUUCGGGUUGUAAAGCUCUUUCGUCACGCGACGAUGAUGACGGUAGCGUGAGAAGAAGCCCCGGCUAACUUCGUGCCAGCAGCCGCGGUAAUACGAAGGGGGCUAGCGUUGUUCGGAAUUACUGGGCGUAAAGGGCGCGUAGGCGGUUUGUCAAGUCAGGCGUGAAAGCCCCGGGCUCAACCUGGGAACUGCGCUUGAGACUGGCAGGCUCGAGUUCGGGAGAGGAUGGUGGAAUUCCCAGUGUAGAGGUGAAAUUCGUAGAUAUUGGGAAGAACACCGAUGGCGAAGGCAGCCAUCUGGACCGACACUGACGCUGAGCGCGAAAGCGUGGGGAGCAAACAGGAUUAGAUACCCUGGUAGUCCACGCCGUAAACGAUGAGUGCUAGACGUCGGGGCCCUCAGGGCUUCGGUGUCGCAGCUAACG